AUACAUUCAGGCAUUAAUAAAUGUCUAGUUUCUCCGAAAAAUUUUCAUAAAGUAAUCAAUAGACUAUUUAAAAUGACAGAAAAAUUAUAUCUUUUAAUUAGGUUUCAACGGAAGUGAUGAAAAAUAGUUUUGUGCAUUUGGAAUAAUUAAGUUCAUCUCUUUCUCAAUAGAAUUACGUUACUAUUAUCUGGCUUCGUAUUGUAGAACUAUUAAUACAAUAGCUGUUUCUCGAGUAUAGUCCACUUUGGAAGACUAAUAGAUGAUUAGUUUCUCUUCAUUUAAUGGGGCGUUUAGCACAUAUACUAUUGUCACUGUGGGCAAGGUGCGCUUUACUGAUACUGUCAAUGUCUAGGCUGAAAUGUCGCCUAAACUCUACCGCAACUUUGUAUUAUUAUAAUUUUCAACCUAAGUGCGCACACAAAUCGCUCUCCUAUGUUUAUUAUGAGGAUUAUAUUAACACAAAUAUUAGCUUAAAGUUUGUUUAUUGAUUACCCUAAAUUAUUUCACGCUGAUACUUUUCGUUUAGUG
rnacentral:lncRNA from 1 species